UACGGAGGGGGCUAGCGUUGUUCGGAAUUACUGGGCGUAAAGCGCACGUAGGCGGCUUUGUAAGUUAGAGGUGAAAGCCCAGGGCUUAACCCUGGAAUUGCCUUUAAGACUGCAUCGCUAGAGUCGUGGAGAGGUGAGUGGAAUUCCGAGUGUAGAGGUGAAAUUCGUAGAUAUUGGGAAGAACACCGGUGGCGAAGGCGGCUCACUGGCUCAUUUCUGACGCUCAGGCGCGACGGCGUGGGGAGCAAACAGG
rnacentral:rRNA from 1 species